CCUACGGGAGGCAGCAGUGAGGAAUAUUGGACAAUGGGCGCAAGCCUGAUCCAGCCAUGCCGCGUGCAGGAAGAAGGUCCUAUGGAUUGUAAACUGCUUUUAUACAGGAAGAAACAACGCUACGUGUAGCGUCUUGACGGUACUGUAUGAAUAAGGACCGGCUAACUCCGUGCCAGCAGCCGCGGUAAUACGGAGGGUCCAAGCGUUAUCCGGAAUCAUUGGGUUUAAAGGGUCCGUAGGCGGCCAAAUAAGUCAGUGGUGAAAGCCCAUCGCUCAACGAUGGAACGGCCAUUGAUACUGUUUGGCUUGAAUUAUUAGGAAGUAACUAGAAUAUGUAGUGUAGCGGUGAAAUGCUUAGAGAUUACAUGGAAUACCAAUUGCGAAGGCAGGUUACUACUAAUAUAUUGACGCUGAUGGACGAAAGCGUGGGGAGCGAACAGGAUUAGAUACCCCAGUAGUC
rnacentral:rRNA from 1 species